AGCGAACGCUGGCGGCAGGCCUAACACAUGCAAGUCGAACGAUCCUUCGGGAUAGUGGCGGACGGGUGAGUAACACGUGGGAACGUGCCCUUUGGUUCGGAAUAACUCAGGGAAACUUGAGCUAAUACCGGAUGUGCCCUUCGGGGGAAAGAUUUAUCGCCAUUGGAGCGGCCCGCGUUGGAUUAGCUAGUUGGUGGGGUAAAGGCCCACCAAGGCUACGAUCCAUAGCUGGUCUGAGAGGAUGAUCAGCCACACUGGGACUGAGACACGGCCCAGACUCCUACGGGAGGCAGCAGUGGGGAAUCUUGCGCAAUGGGCGAAAGCUUGACGCAGCCAUGCCGCGUGAAUGAUGAAGGUCUUAGGAUUGUAAAAUUCUUUCACCGGGGACGAUAAUGACGGUACCCGGAGAAGAAGCCCCGGCUAACUUCGUGCCAGCCGCCGCAGUAAAAC
rnacentral:rRNA from 1 species